rnacentral:rRNA from 1 species
GAUGAACGCUAGCGGGAGGCCUAACACAUGCAAGCCGAGCGGUAUUGUUUCUUCGGAAAUGAGAGAGCGGCGUACGGUGCGGAACACGUGUGCAACCUACCUUUAUCUGGAGGAUAGCCUUUCGAAAGGAAGAUUAAUACUCCAUAAUAUAUUGACUGGCAUCAGUUGAUAUUGAAAGCUCCGGCGGAUAAAGAUGGGCACGCGCAAGAUUAGCUAGUUGGUGAGGUAACGGCUCACCAAGGCGAUGAUCUUUAGGGGGCCUGAGAGGGUGAUCCCCACACUGGUACUGAGACACGGACCAGACUCCUACGGGAGGCAGCAGUGAGGAAUAUUGGUCAAUGGGUGCAAGACCUGAACCAGCCACUCCCGCGUGAAGGACGACU